GUGCGAGGUUGUGCACCGGCCUCACGUCUCACGGCCACAAGGGGAGCCGCUAAGUAGUAUUCUGGCAUACUAUACUGUGGACCAUGCUUGAGUUUGUGGCUUGCACAUCAACCCUAAAACUACAUUGGUACCAGGUCAAAUAAAGGAGAAGCACCUGUUGGAGGUUUUGUGGUGGCCGACAAACACCACGUGCCCCACAGAGGGAUUCACAAGCUGUUGAUCUGUCAGACUACCGAACAUUGUGUCAAAAGGAGCGAUGCAUAACCCACACAUGCGGAUCAUCUAGCACGUGUGGCUGCCACGCGCCAUCCUCCAAUGUCUUCUUUUGCUGCCACGCGCGGCAUUUCUAGAGCCAACGACUACAUUGUCUUUAGCAUCGACUGUCCAACAUACUCCUAGAGUGAUGUGUGUCCUUUACGAGCCACUACAGUUUCGUUUGCCCAGUGUAUUUCGGUUCUUGCACUCUUUUUUUAGGAUAUGUAAUUUUGUACCGUUGUUUGUAUUAAGAAAUAAAAAAAAAUAGGCUAUUAGACUUUUGUCCAUGGCAGGAACCC